UAUGUUGUAAAUUCUAGGGUCUUCUCUCUUAGGAUCUGUGCAGAUCUCUGGCUGAUUGCUUUAUGCCUGGUUCUGGAGCCUUUGCCAGUGCAUUCUAAGAAGAACAAGGGAAGACCAGCAAGCCACAGCAGAAGAAACUCAGAAGGAAAUGUAACCUUCCACAGGCCCACACAUGUGUUAUCAGCCAUACCUUAGGACAGAAGGAAUGAGUUUGCAGAAAGGAUGCCCUACAACCAUACUGAGAAUUUAGCCCUGGGGACAUCUUCCGAUAUAAUCUGGCAUAGAAGAGUGGUUAUCACACCUUUAGCAUGGGACCCUUGAGACACCUUUGCUGUGAAUAAUGGAGAAGCAAAAGGAGUUACUAAUGAAGACAAACUAAACCUGAGAACAGAGAGAGCCUAACUAUGUGCUCCAGAAGUGCCAUGUGUGUCUAAGGUAGGUCCAAAGGUAUGAGUCUAGAGAUAUUAUGUAUAAAACACCUAAUUGAAUGUCAAAAAAUCCAUAGAAGCUUAAUAAUUGGUAGCAAUUAUUAUUACUCAUUAGUGUGGGGGCUGGGAAGAUGACAACAGAGUAUAACUUGGAGGGUUGGUGUAGAGCAAUUAGCUAGCAACUGUAGUUUGAAUUUCCAUGAAGUAGUUCCCUUAAUUGUGUACACACAAACACAUCAAAACUGAAACCACAGCUAUGUGAUUUAAUAAUGUUGCACGUUUAGACAUGAUACAAGGCACUUUUGCCUACAUUAUCUUUCUGUGAGUUUAACAUUAGACCUGGUAUAAUUAUCCUAAAUUUACUACUAGAGAAUUUAGUUUGAAAAGUCAUGCAACUUUUCUAAAGAAUUUUUUCUGAUUUAAUAACACCAAUCAAUGAAUUAAUCAAUCAACUGUUCUGGCCAUUAAAUGUGUGAGAAAAAAAAGUCAGUGUAUUAAUUAUAAUUAUAUACCGAGACUUGGCUCUGUGUGUUUCACAAAAUAAGUAUAAAGUAUCAAAUUUGUUAUAAAUGUGUGACCCAUUAAAAGAAAAAAAAACUUGAUAGAUGUGUAUUUGGUAACAGCUUUUUAGAAAAUUUUUUGAACAUUUAUGAUGUUCAGAAAAGAACAGUGAUCAGUGUGCUAAAUUAAAUUACUUGAAUAAAUUAUGGAGAAAAAGUUCUGAUUUUUGUGCAAGGUUUGCAUUCUGGAUUGAGGUCCAGUUCUUUUUGAAGUAUCUGAAAUCAAACAUAUAUUUCCAAACCCUGAGGACUGAUUUCCUUCUGAAGACCACCCUCUCUUCUAUUUGAGGAACUCCAUAUUCCUUCUUGUAACACUACUCUGAUUCUAUAUCAAGCAAUCUUGGCCUUGUUAAGAUAAGAAAGUUGCCUUAAGCACUUUCCAAAGCUUUCCUACAUUCACUGUUGGUGGAUGGUGUCCCUACCCUACUUGUUCCCCUGCAGAACCUCAGAUUGGAGAUAUAAGGGGUGAAAUAACAGCCAAGUACCUCAGAGCUAAGUACUUUACAUAUAACUCAUUUAAUCCUCACAGCAUUGCUAUGGAACAAGUACUAUUAUUCAUCCCAGUUUACAGAUAGAAACUAAGGCAGAGAAAGGUUAAAUAAUCAAAGUUUACCUACUAGAUAACAGAGUGGGGGUAGAAACCAAGCCAUUCUGGCUUUUCCUGCUUGUAACACCAGGGUGGUAAAGGUGAAAAUUUGGGUUCAUUCUCACAGAGAAGAGGUUAUUAAGGCUCAGACUGGACAGAUAGCAUGGGAAUGAUGAGCAAGCAGGAAAUUUAAGAGUCAGAUCUUAGAAAAAUAUGACAAAGCCUAGAGACUGGCAACUGACAUGAUCUGAGAAAAGUGAGGAG
rnacentral:lncRNA from 10 species